GGGUUGCAUCGACCUGCUGCGAAACAAUUGGUCUGCCUGUUUUUUGGGAUAAUGAAACAAUUUCAUAAACAGAAUACCGUUACCCUUAGGAAUGCGAGUAAAUGAAAUGAGAGAAAGAAAACAAACAAAGGAUUCAGUCUGUCAUAAAGUUUUGCGAUGUAUUGACGCAGACAGAUCGGUGGUGUAAAAGAGUUUAAUGUAAAAGAAAUAAAGUGAUGUACUUUUGUUACGAAUGUGACCUUAGAAUAUGAUAUGGAUGAUAACCAUGUAAAAAAGUCUUUUAAACCUUUGAAGAACUUUUAUGGCGCUCUUCAUGAUGUUUCGGGUUCAACAGAGGCACAACUGCCCAAAGCCAUACAACACAAAAAAGCGGCAUUUCAAAAAUUUAAAUAUUUUUGGUGAAUAUUGACUAAUUUUAAUGAUUUUUUAAAAGUUUUUUUUCCGAUUUUUUGCCUUAUGCAUGCCUAUGUACUUUAAUUCUUCUUGUUUUGUCAUUAUAAUAUUAAAAUAGAAAUGAAACCAAUUUUAAGAAAACAAAA